GGGAUUGCCUCAGUAACGGCGAGUGAAGCGGCAACAGCUCAAAUUUGAAAUCUGGCCCCCUCGGGGGGCCCGAGUUGUAAUUUGCAGAUUGUGCUUUUGGCGAGGCGCCUUCCGAGUUCCCUGGAACGGGACGCCACAGAGGGUGAGAGCCCCGUCUGGUCGGCCGCCGAGCCUCUGUAAAGCACCUUCGACGAGUCGAGUAGUUUGGGAAUGCUGCUCAAAAUGGGAGGUAUAUGUCUUCUAAAGCUAAAUACCGGCCAGAGACCGAUAGCGCACAAGUAGAGUGAUCGAAAGAUGAAAAGCACCUUGAAAAGGGGGUUAAACAGUACGUGAAAUUGUUGAAAGGGAAGCGCUCGCGACCAGACUUGGGCCCGGCGGAUCACCCAGCGUUCUCGCUGGGGCACUCCGCCUCGUCCCAGGCCAGCAUCGGUUCGUGCCGGGGGACAAAGGCGGCGGGAACGUGGCUCCCCCGGGAGUGUUAUAGCCCGCCGCGCAAUGCCCUGGGGCGGACCGAGGAUUCGCGCAUCUGCAUGGAUGCUGGCGUAAUGGUCACCAGCGACCCGUCUUGAAACACGGACCAAGGAGUCGUCUUCGUAUGCGAGUGUUCGGGUGUCAAACCCCUACGCGUAAUGAAAGUGAACGCAGGUGAGAGCUUCGGCGCAUCAUCGACCGAUCCUGAUGUUCUCGGAUGGAUUUGAGUAGGAGCAUACGGGGCCGGACCCGAAAGAAGGUGAACUAUGCCUGUGUAGGGUGAAGCCAGAGGAAACUCUGGUGGAGGCUCGCAGCGGUUCUGACGUGCAAAUCGAUCGUCAAACAUGGGCAUGGGGGCGAAAGACU
rnacentral:rRNA from 1 species